ACAGGCGUGGCGUAAUGGUAACGCGUCUGACUUCGGAUCAGAAGAUUGCGGGUUCGAGUCCCGUCGCCUGUG
rfam:Nematocida sp. 1 ERTm2 unplaced genomic scaffold supercont1.6, whole genome shotgun sequence.